CUUAAGGAGCUGACCUAGAAUAGGUGCGGGGCUCCCCCAUGAUUUCUGGCGAUGCAGAACACGAAACCCAAAUAUUGCACGUAUCUAAAAAGGAACUGUACAAGCAGGGUGCAAGUUGGUGUAAAGCAGCAAGACAAACCUGCAUUCAGGCACUGCUAGAAAGGGGUACACCAGGCUGGGAACGCUGCCCAGGAGCUCCAGCCCGGGGUCCAAGCGCUGCGUCCGGGGCCAGCAGCAUCCCCGAGCUCUCCGUGCCAGGCUCCCACGACACCCAGGUCACGCCAGGGGCCUCUGAGACGCUUUAACACCCACCUUCUUUUUUUUUUUUUUUUUAGGAAAAAGAUCUUGCCAACAACUUGCCUCUCGCUUUUGCAGAGUAGCGGUGCUGCUUUUUCUUGGAUAAACAACUACGGACCAGCACUUGGCAACGACGGCUGUUUAUGAAAACAAGUACCGGUUGGGGGAGGACUGGGGUGGCAGCACACGCGCCCUAAAAGCUUUUGGAUGUCCUCAACCCUCUCCAGGGAGAGCCAGCAGUUCGGAGGAGAUGAGGACAACUCCUCCAACCGUUACAGAUUCAGCCCUUCUCCCACCCAAGAAAUGACGAUUCAUGAACUCCUACGUGGAAUUUCCCCUCCUACCGGUUUCCAAGACCAGAUGAUUCUACCCCAAAUAUUUGUUUAUAAACUUAUGAACCAGUGAAUGACGCUUUUGCAAAAAAAGGCGGAGUUUGUGUAACAACAUCUAGAAAACUGUGCUAUUGAUAAAGUCAAAUAAAAUGAAUAUAAACAAGUGAAUUUCAGAUGCCGAACCCGAAGGUACCUGCUCUCCGACAGAAUUAGCAUCUGCAAAUGGACUGCACGGGCUUCCAGAUCUCCUAUUCUGCCCUCCAAACAAGCACACAAAAUUACAGAAAAACUAGGUUUGAGGUUCUCCGAGACGGAGAAGCGGGUUGAACCAGCGGCAGCAACACGAAGCACCUUGUCCAUCCAGCCCCGGCGGGUCACCCCACAGCCCGCUCGCUGCUGCGUUGUGCCGAAGCUGCCUCGUCUUCUGCUUUAAACCCUCGCCUCCUAAUAACCGCUGUGACUUCCUUGGAAAUACGUCAGCUGCUGCCCUAGAUACUGAGUCUGCUACGCCAAACGGUCUUUUCCAGGCUUAUUUCUCCUGUUAUUCUCAGCAUCCUCCGGUUCAUCCUCAUUUCCACCAAGCACCCCCACGCCGCUGUGCACCCUUCCCCGCUCCCUCUCCUCUCCCCUUCUCUUUGGCUAAUACGCAGGCAACCAAGUAUUUAUUUGUCGCUUUUUCAGCCUUUAGACAGCACGGGGUUUGCUCGCUCCUCUGCAGAUCUGAAUUCCUCCAGGCUAGGUAAGGCCAGGCUCCCUGCAGGAUCCUGCCGAUGCUCCCCGGACCGCCCACUCGCGUCUUUAGCUAACAGCCAAUUUUCUGGCCGUAUUAUAGCUCUCCCUUUAUGAGAGUCAACUUGAAUGCUCCACGUUGUAUUUCAUGCUCUCCUAAAAGCCAAAUAUAUACUGUCUAUCAAAUUCAGUUCCUCUCCUAAUUCUCUUACUUCCAUAAACAAACCCACCAAUCACAUAUGCUGCGCUUUGCUCAUGCUUGUGCUUUUGACAGCGGGCCAAACCAUUGAAAUCAAAAGAGCUUCUGAGCCAGGGUAGGCAACACAAUAUAUGCUGCUUUAAAUGUGGCAGAUCUGCUUUUAGUAGGCUUUUAGCUAAGACAGAUUUUAAUCCUGUGGAAGCAAUUGCCUAGACUAUUACCUGUUCAUUUUUACAAACACAUUCCGUAUUUGCUUCUUCCAGUCUUUUGCUUUUUCCGUACUCCUAU